AGCCUGGUAUCCCCCACCUGGGUUUCUGGGUUCACUAGAUCUGAGGUGGGACCUUGAUAUAUACAGGUGUUUCUGAGGUGUGUCCCAGGUUGAGAACUGAUGACUUUCUUUUUUUUUUUUUUUUUUUUUUUUGUGAGCCAAAGAUUUAUUUCUUCAUUUCUUGCAUUUGAAAUACUCUUCGAUGACAUCCUUGGCCUGAGACUCCUUGCCAUAGUCCUUAACUACUACACAACUAUGGGCUUGGCGCUUGUCUAAG
rnacentral:lncRNA from 1 species